AAUGAACGCUGGCGGUGUGCCUAAUACAUGCAAGUCGAGCGAACAGACGAGGAGCUUUCUCCUCUGACGUUAGCGGCGGACGGGUGAGUAACACAUGGAUAACCUACCUAUAUGACUGGGAUAACUUCGGGAAACCGGAGCUAAUACCGGAUAAUAUAUCCUACGGCUUGGUUCAAUAGUGAAAGGCGGCUUUGCUGUCACUUAGAGACGGAUCCGGGUCGCCUUAUCUAGUUGGUAAGGUAACGGCUUACCAAGGCGACGGUGCGUAUCCGACCUGAUAGGGUGAUCGGCCACACUGGAACUGAGACACGGUCCAGACUCCUACGGGAGGCAGCAGUAGGGAAUCUUCCGCAAUGGGCGAAAGCCUGACGGAGCAACGCCGCGGGAGUGAUGAAGGUCUUCGGAUCGUAAAACUCUGUUAUUAGGGAAGAACAAAUGUGUAAGUAACUAUGCACGUCUUGACGGUACCUAAUCAGAAAGCCACGGCUAACUUCGUG
rnacentral:rRNA from 1 species